GACGAACGCUGGCGGCGUGCCUAAUACAUGCAAGUCGAACGCAGUGGGGACGGGUGCGUAACACGUGGGUAACCUCCCAUCAGAGGGGAUAACACUUGGCAACAGGUGCUAAACCGAUACUGAUGGAUGGACCAGGGGUGCAUUAGCUAGUUGGUGAGGUAACGGCCCACCAAGGCAACGAUGCCUAGCCGACCUGAGAGGGUGACUGGCCAAACGGGGACUGAGACACGGCCCAGACUCCGACGGGAGGCAGCAGUAGGGAAUAUUCGGCAAUGGACGAAAGUCUGACCGAGCAAUGCCGCGUGAGUGAAGAAGGUUUUCGGAUCGUAAAAUACUGUUGUUAGGGAAGCGGUAUCUAACCAGAAAGCCACGGCUAACUACGUGCCAGCAGCCGCGGUAAUAC
rnacentral:rRNA from 1 species